UAUCCAAAUUUAAGAGAAAAAAUAAUUUAUAAUAACUCUUGUUAGGUAUUUACUUUUUAAUUUUAUAUAUUUAAGAAUAUAUUGUGUGAUACAGAAGAUAAAUUAGAAAAUGAUAAUAAUUAUAGUAAAAUUAUAAAUUCAAUAAUUGUUGAUAGCAUUAAAAACCCUAGUUUAAUUGACAGCUGCAACCAACAUGAAACCAUUGGUCCCAAGUCUUAUACAAAUCUUGAGAAUCUAUGUCAUGUACAAGAUAUGAAAUAUACACAUACAAAUAAUUUGAAUAUAGAAUUGUUAAAUGAUAUUCAAAACACUGCCACUUUUGUUGAAAACCUUGAUACUGAAUUUGACUUUCAAGAUAAAACUGAUGCAGGUUUUAAACAGUAUACAAAUAUUGAGAGUUUCCAAGAUAAUAUAGCUUUACCUUUAACAGUUGAGAAUUAUAAUAUUACUAAUACUGACUAUAAUGAGAUUUGUGUUGGAAAUAAUAAUAUUGAGAAUUGUGAUGGAAAUUCUAAUAGUGGUCAAAAUUAAGGAUCGAUUAAUUUCUCAAAUGCAACAGUUUCUUCAGAAUCAGACAUUUUUGGAAAU